GGGGAAUAUUGGACAAUGGGGGCAACCCUGAUCCAGCCAUGCCGCGUGAGUGAUGAAGGCCUUAGGGUUGUAAAGCUCUUUCGCCCGCGAAGAUAAUGACGGUAGCGGGAGAAGAAGCCCCGGCUAACUUCGUGCCAGCAGCCGCGGUAAUACGAAGGGGGCUAGCGUUGUUCGGAAUCACUGGGCGUAAAGCGUACGUAGGCGGAUGCUUAAGUCAGAGGUGAAAGCCUGGAGCUCAACUCCAGAACUGCCUUUGAUACUGGGCGUCUUGAGUCCGGGAGAGGUGAGUGGAACUGCUAGUGUAGAGGUGAAAUUCGUAGAUAUUAGCAAGAACACCAGUGGCGAAGGCGGCUCACUGGCCCGGUACUGACGCUGAGGUACGAAAGCGUGGGGAGCAAAC
rnacentral:rRNA from 1 species